rnacentral:rRNA from 1 species
UAGAUACCCUAGUAGUCCACGCCGUAAACGAUGAGUACUAAGUGUUGGAUGUCAAAGUUCAGUGCUGCAGUUAACGCAAUAAGUACUCCGCCUGAGUAGUACGUUCGCAAGAAUGAAACUCAAAGGAAUUGACGGGGGCCCGCACAAGCGGUGGAGCAUGUGGUUUAAUUCGAAGCAACGCGAAGAACCUUACCAGGUCUUGACAUACUCAUAAAGGCUCCAGAGAUGGAGAGAUAGCUAUAUGAGAUACAGGUGGUGCAUGGUUGUCGUCAGCUCGUGUCGUGAGAUGUUGGGUUAAGUCCCGCAACGAGCGCAACCCUUAUCGUUAGUUACCAUCAUUAAGUUGGGGACUCUAGCGAGACUGCCAGUGACAAGCUGGAGGAAGGCGGGGAUGACGUCAAAUCAUCAUGCCCCUUAUGACCUGGGCUACACACGUGCUACAAUGGAUGGUGCAGAGGGAAGCGAAGCCGCGAGGUGAAGCAAAACCCAUAAAACCAUUCUCAGUUCGGAUUGUAGUCUGCAACUCGACUACAUGAAG